GCACAGUAUUGUUCAAUAGCAAGAAAUCUUCAAUUGACAGUAUUGCGCAAUAGCAAGAAAUAUCUAAUUGCACAAUGAUGUGAAAUAGCAAUCAAUUUUCAAUUGGAGUUAUCUUUCUUUGUCCAGAAUAGAUAUUUUUGCUAAAGCAAGAUAUUUUCAAUAUUCUUUGAAAAUUUGAGUUAUCUUUCUUUGUCCAGAAUAGUAGUUGAAUCAACUUAAAUCAUUGUUUUAUACAAUAUACAAUGUAUUUUCACUUUUCUACCAACUGAUAAAUUAAAACAAUCUUUACCAUUCAGUGAUAAAAAGCACUUUUUUUUACAUUUUAAUAUUUUAUGAUGUAUUUAAAUGAGCAGUUAUUGUUGCAAACUCCAUUAGAAAUUUGAAUUGAGAUCAGUUUUGGAAUAAGGGAAAGAGGGAUGUGAAAACAAAAUUAGGGGGGGGGGGUCAAUUUUUCUCAUUUCAUUUUUCAUAAAUAAAAAGAAAAUUUCUUCAAACAUUUUUUUGAGAGGAUUAAUAUUCAACAGCAUAGUGAAAUUUUUUUUUUAAAGUUUAUAAGACCACAUUCAUUCUGUGUCAGAAACCUAUGCUGUGUCAACUAUUUAAUCACAAUCCAAAUUUAGAGCUGAAUCCAGCUUGAAUGUUGUGUCCAUACUUUCCCCAAAUGUUCAGGGUUCAACCUCUGCGGUCGUAUAAAGCUGCGCCCUGCGGAGCAUCUGGUUAGUUUCUGUU
rnacentral:lncRNA from 1 species